AAAAGGGCGAUUAUCCCAGAGUUAACAUAUUGUCAUAGUUAGCUACUUAGCACAGUGCCUCACAAAAACAGUAAAAUAGCAUCAAUAUUUUUAUUGCUUCAAUGUAUGUCUUUAUAGCAACUUCAAAAACAGUAAAAUAGCAUCAAUAUUUUUAUUGCUUCAAUGUGUGUCUUUUUCUCUCUUUGGACUCCUGCCUUUUAUAACAGUGUGUCAGACCACGUGGGAAGGCAAAAGAAGAGUACAAAGGAGAUGGAGACCCAGCAGACAAGAAUUUCCCACUGUGUAAACCAUCCUGAGAAGUGGCCUGAAUUGAAGAACCAUCAAGACCUUGCAGUUUUGACAUUUGCAGAAAGAUGUGUGGGAGUACAAGAGGUUCAUGGGAAGAAACUACAUCUUACUGAACUGCUAUAAGAGCCUGAUGUUCUCUGGAUGCGUGGGGACACAGAGAUGAAUGGAUGCAGGUGUAAAUCAGUGACUUGGCUUGAAUCAACACAGUAUCCUCUCUUUCCACAACUAUUAGUUUAAACAUUACUACUCAUCACAGUCAUUUCAAAGUACUCAAGCUAGUAAAUCGUGCAUGGCAAUUUUUGUGAGUCACUUAAACUUGAUACUACUUUUGUUAUCUUUCAAAAUGCAUGAGUAAGUCCUGCUUGAGAAUAAAGUCUGCACAGAAGAAAGCAGCAUCAAGAAACAGAUGGAGGUGCAGAACUCUGAAAGUGGUAUAGGAGAACCGGGAUCCAGCUAUGUCAGCAGUAAACUGUUUCUUAGCUGUUGUGUUGUAUAAGCCAGUAAGUCUCUCACCCUCUCUUCCUUUCUAUUUUAUUCCUCCAUAACUUUCUGCGAUUAGUAAAGAACCUUCUCUGAAUUCAUUAGAGAAGAAUAUCUAACUUAAACUGUCUUAAACAAAAUGGGUCAAAACAAAUAUCUAAGAGUUGUUUUGCUAGUUUCCUCUUUUCUUUAUCACUGUCUUCUUCCCUUAGAUUUUACACUUAUUGUGACUUAUUGUGAAAAUACAUACAUUCAUAUAUACAUAAUAAAAGUGAGAAAAAAGGAAUAAAUUAAUGUUGGUUAGUACUUGGUUUAUGAAAAGGAGAAAGUAAUCAUGAGAAUACUAGUCUGAAGGACAAGAGACACAGGUUCUAAUACUACCUCUGCCUUUAAUUUGUCUUGUGGUAUUUAGUGAAAACAAAAAGCAUUUAGUCAAAUAAGUGGAAAACAAACCAAGUAUUGGUUUUAAAUUAAAUUCUUGAAUUUCUAAAAAGUGUAAAAAAUAACAAUGUGAGAUUUUAGCCUAUUUUAAAACAUAAAUUUCAAAUAUCUCUUAAAAAUCAUAGAUGUAAUGGGGAAAUUCCUGCCCAAACCAAAGCAUCCUCCUAUUUUUGUUAAUAUGCAUGGUCUUAUUUGAACUCAGCCUGGUAACUUUGGUUUACUCAUGGAAACAAAAAGGGUUAUGACUUGUGGGCUAUAUAUGCCUUUGAUUAAUAAUAAAUUUGUAGUCAAUUAUUAUUUAAUAAACUCCAUGGGUUUGGAAGACCACAGCCAGCUGGUCCUGUGGUUCCUGACCUUUAUUUCCCCAACAAGACCCUUU
rnacentral:lncRNA from 1 species